rnacentral:rRNA from 1 species
UACGUAGGUGGCAAGCGUUGUCCGGAUUUAUUGGGCGUAAAGCGCGCGCAGGCGGUCCUUUAAGUCUGAUGUGAAAUCUUGCGGCUUAACCGCAAGCGGUCAUUGGAAACUGGGGGACUUGAGUACAGAAGAGGAAAGUGGAAUUCCACGUGUAGCGGUGAAAUGCGUAGAGAUGUGGAGGAACACCAGUGGCGAAGGCGGCUCUCUGGGACGGUACUGGACGCUGA